rnacentral:rRNA from 1 species
CCUACGGGAGGCAGCAGUAAGGAAUAUUGGUCAAUGGACGCAAGUCUGAACCAGCCAUGCCGCGUGAAGGAUUAAGGUCCUCUGGAUUGUAAACUUCUUUUAUCUGGGACGAAAAAAGGCGAUUCUUCGUCACUUGACGGUACCAGAUGAAUAAGCACCGGCUAACUCCGUGCCAGCAGCCGCGGUAAUACGGAGGGUGCAAGCGUUAUCCGGAUUCACUGGGUUUAAAGGGUGCGUAGGCGGGCAGGUAAGUCAGUGGUGAAAUCCUAGAGCUUAACUCUAGAACUGCCAUUGAUACUAUCUGUCUUGAAUAUUGUGGAGGUAAGCGGAAUAUGUCAUGUAGCGGUGAAAUGCUUAGAUAUGACAUAGAACACCUAUUGCGAAGGCAGCUUACUACGCAUAUAUUGACGCUGAGGCACGAAAGCGUGGGGAUCAAACAGGAUUAGAUACCCUGGUAGUCCACGCCCUAAACGAUGAUUACUCGACAUUGUGAUACACUAUAAGUGUCUGAGCGAAAGCAUUAAGUAAUCCACCUGGAAGUAGACCGCAAGUUGAAACUUAAAGGAAUUGACCGGNUGAGAGAGCGAGGACGACGACGAGGGAGGAGG